rnacentral:lncRNA from 10 species
GAUUUCAGGUGUUGGCGUCUGCUUCCCAUUACUGGCCACUGGAGAAUGUGGAUGGGAUCCAUGAACUUCAGGAUACAACUGGAGAUAUUGUGGAAGGGAAGGUCAACAAAGGCAUUUACCUGAAAGAGGAAAAGGGAGUCACGCUUCUCUAUUACGGCAGGUACAACAGCUCCUGCAUCAGCAAGCCAGAGCAGUGUGGCCCUGAAGAUUUCCAGUUUUUCUUGAUAAAUCUCUCCUGACUUCUCUGGCUGGCUGGAGCUAAGUCGCGGUGGCCCUGGACUUCCGUCUCCAGUUCCCCUCAGUCCCCACCAGACUUCUCGACUCUUCAAUAAUCUUCAGGUCGAACAGAGCCUGUCCGCAGCAUGAGCUCUGGGGCCAGAAGGCGUGGGUUCCACUUCCGGUUCCGACCUGUUUGUGGGGAUCUUGGGCAACCACUGCUUCCCUUUGAAAAGCCUCAUCUGUAAAGUGAGUGAAUAAAAGGACCUUCCCA